AGUGGCACAGUGCUCUGGGUCCUCUGAAGGCCUGGAUAGCACUCUGCAACUGUUACAAGUAUUACAACCACUAGGCCUUUCAAUAUUCAACAGUAUUCUGUUAAACUUCCAUACAUUUUCCAAAUACAGUAAUGAGACCUGACAAAGAAAUUGCAAUAGGAUAGGGCAUUGCAACACAGGGAUGCAGGUUUGUAUCUCCUGGGGACUGGUAGCUGCGGUGCCUUGGGAGUACAUGGCUGGAGGCAACAUCUAAGCUCAGGCUGAGGCCUGUGGCACCUGCCGGUACAUGGCAAUCUUCCUUCCCUUCUGGUGCCCUGAUCCUUGUUCGCAGGUUACUGAUCUGAGGCUGUUUGGUUAAAUGAUAGCCAUUACACCAACAUAUGGCUGUCCAGGUGUUGUGUAAGGUCUGCUGGCAUGCUUCUGUGCCCAUGUAUAUGUAGACGUAUAGCAACCACUCUGUAUUACAGGGUGUAUCCAAAUUCAGAGGAAAGCUUCAGGCCAAUUGUUUUUUGAGGAACUUUCCAAAGGACUGCUCUGCAUCGUUUAGGAGACUGAGAGUGCCACGUCGCUCGCUGCAAGGACAUACCAUAAUUGUACUUGGCUGCAACAACGACAGGAGUGCAAAACUGGAUCACAGGGACCCUCUAGUGUUCCCAGCCUGCAUGCUGCAGCACCUUCUGCCUGAGUAAGGCAGUUAGACAUUGCUCUGCAGUCUGCUGAGUUAAGUAUCACUACUUCUGCUGCUUUUUUUUUUUUUUUCUUUUCUUCCCCUUUGGGGCUUCAAAUGCUUAUCAGGUAAAGAAAUCAAAUCCUGCUGAAUGCUGUGGGUCAGCAGAAUCGUUUUUCAGCUAUUCUGAUUGAUAAAAUGAGAAAAGUAUUUUGAGCCAUCUUUUCAGCAUCCUGCUCCAAAGAAAACAAAAGCUGUACUUUUCAACAUAGUCACAAAGAUAAUGCUUUUCACCUAUUUUUUUUUUAAGCAAAGCAGAAACUGCUUUGUGUCAAGAAUAAAAGUGUUAGACUUCAAAAGGCC
rnacentral:lncRNA from 1 species